rnacentral:lncRNA from 1 species
UGGGAAUGGUGGGAAUGUGGGAAUGGUGGGAUUGGGAAUGGUGGGAAUGGUGGGAAUGGUGGGAAUGGUGGGAAUGGUGGGAAUGGUGGGAAUGGGAAUGGGGGAAUGGGAAUGGUGGGAAUAAAGGGAAUGGGAAUGGUGGGAAUGGUGGGAAUGUGGGAAUGGGAAUGGGGGAAUAGGAAUGGUGGGAGUGGUGGGAAUAAUGCGAUUGGGAAUGAUGGGAUUUCAUGGUCCAGGAGUAGUUGGACCAGGGGCAGGGAGUCGUCGAUGCAGCUCUGGGAAUGUAGGAAUGGGAAUGGUGGGAAUGUGGCAAUGUGGGAAUGGGAUUGGGAAUGGUGGGAUUGGGAAUGAUGGGAUUGGGAAUGAUGGGAUUGGGAAUGAUGGGAUUGGGAUUUCAUGGUCCAGGAGGAGACGGACCAGGGGAAUCGUCAAUGCAGCUCUGGGAAUGUGGGAAUGGUAGGAAUGCUGGGAAUGGUGGGAAUGGGAUGGGAAUGGGAUUGGGAAUAAUGGGAAUGGGAAUGGUGAGAAUGUGGGAAUGGUGGGAAUAAUGGGAUUGGGAAUGAUGGGAUUGGGAUUUCAUGGUCCAGGAGCAGCCAGACCAGGGGCAGGGAGUCAUCAAUGCAGCUCUGGGAAUGGGAAUGGUGGGAAUGGGAAUGGGAUUGGGGGGAUUAGGAAUGAUGGGAAUGGGAUUGGGAAUGAUGGGAAUGGUGGGAUUGGGAUUGGGGAAUUAGGAAUGGUGGGACUGGGAUUGGGAUUGGGGGGGAUUAGGAAUGGUGGGAAUGGGAUUGGGAAUGAUAGGUUUGGGAAUGGUGGGAUUUGGAAUAAUGCGAAUGAUGGGACUGGGAU